rnacentral:rRNA from 1 species
UACGUAGGGUGCAAGCGUUUAAUCGGAAUUACUGGGCGUAAAGCGUGCGCAGGCGGUUGUGCAAGACAGAUGUGAAAUCCCCGGGCUCAACCUGGGAAUUGCAUUUGUGACUGCACGGCUAGAGUGUGUCAGAGGGGGGUAGAAUUCCACGUGUAGCAGUGAAAUGCGUAGAGAUGUGGAGGAAUACCGAUGGCGAAGGCAGCCCCCUGGGAUAACACUGACGCUCAUGCACGAAAGCGUGGGGAGCAAACAGGG